UUGCUUUGACAGCACAUAUACUAAAAUUGGAAUGAUACAGGGAAGAUUAGCAUUACCCUGCACAAGAAUGAAAAGUAGGGUUUUAAAUUUUCAUAAAGUUCA